rnacentral:rRNA from 1 species
UACAGAGGGGGCUAGCGUUAUUCGGAAUUAUUGGGCGUAAAGGGCGCGUAGGCGGCUUUUCAAGUGACGGGUGAAAUCCCUCGGCUUAACCGAGGAACUGCCUGUCAGACUGGAAGGCUUGAGACCGGGAGAGGUGAGUGGAAUUCCCAGUGUAGCGGUGAAAUGCGUAGAUAUUGGGAGGAACACCAGUGGCGAAGGCGGCUCACUGGACCGGAACUGACGCUGAGGCGCGAAAGCGUGGGGAGCAAACAGGG